GAUGAACGCUGGCGGCGUGCUUAACACAUGCAAGUCGAACGAUGAUCCGGUGCUUGCACCGGGGAUUAGUGGCGAACGGGUGAGUAACACGUGAGUAACCUGCCCUUGACUCUGGGAUAAGCCUGGGAAACUGGGUCUAAUACCGGAUAUGACUCCUCAUCGCAUGGUGGGGGGUGGAAAGCUUUUGCGGUUUUGGAUGGACUCGCGGCCUAUCAGCUUGUUGGUGAGGUAAUGGCUCACCAAGGCGACGACGGGUAGCCGGCCUGAGAGGGUGACCGGCCACACUGGGACUGAGACACGGCCCAGACUCCUACGGGAGGCAGCAGUGGGGAAUAUUGCACAAUGGGCGAAAGCCUGAUGCAGCGACGCCGCGUGAGGGAUGACGGCCUUCGGGUUGUAAACCUCUUUCAGUAGGGAAGAAGCGAAAGUGACGGUACCUGCAGAAGAAGCGCCGGCUAACUACGUGCCAGCAGCCGCGGUAAUACGUAGGGCGCAAGCGUUAUCCGGAAUUAUUGGGCGUAAAGAGCUCGUAGGCGGUUUGUCGCGUCUGCCGUGAAAGUCCGGGGCUCAACUCCGGAUCUGCGGUGG
rnacentral:rRNA from 1 species